rnacentral:rRNA from 1 species
GAUGAACGCUGGCGGCGUGCCUAAUACAUGCAAGUCGAGCGAACGGACGAUAAGCUUGCUUCUCUGAUGUUAGCGGCGGACGGGUGAGUAACACGUGUAUAACCUACCUAUAAGACUGGGAUAACCUCGGGAAACCGUAUCUAAUACCGUAUAAUAUUUUGAACCGCAUUGUUCAAAAGUGAAAGACGGUCGUUCUGUCACUUAUAGAUGCAUCCGCGCUGCAUUAGCUAGUUGUUAAGGUAACGGCUUACCAAGGCAACGAUGCAUAGCCGACCUGAGAGGCUGUUCGGCCACACUAGAACUGAGACACCGUCCAGACUCCUGCGGGAGGCAGCAGUAGGGAAUCUUCCGCAAUGGGCGAAAGCCUGACGGAGCAACGGCGCGUGAGUGAUGGAGGUCUUCGGAUCGUAAUACUCUGUUAUUAGGGAAGAACAUAUGUGUAAGUAACUGUGGACAUCUUGACGGUACCUAAUCAGAAAGCCACGGCUAACUACGUG